rnacentral:rRNA from 1 species
UACGGAAGGGGCAAGCGUUGUUCGGAUUCAUUGGGCGUAAAGGGUGCGUAGGUGGCGCUGUAAGUCGGGUGUGAAAUCCUGAGGCUUAACCUCGGAACUGCAUUCGAUACUGCGGCGCUUGAGGACUGGAGAGGAGACUGGAAUUCAUGGUGUAGCAGUGAAAUGCGUAGAGAUCAUGAGGAAGACCAGUGGCGAAGGCGGGUCUCUGGACAGUUCCUGACACUGAGGCAUGAAGGCCAGGGGAGCAAACGGG